rnacentral:rRNA from 1 species
GACGAACGCUGGCGGCGUGCCUAAUACAUGCAAGUCGAACGCUGAAGGAGGAGCUUGCUUCUCUGGAUGAGUUGCGAACGGGUGAGUAACGCGUAGGUAACCUGCCUGGUAGCGGGGGAUAACUAUUGGAAACGAUAGCUAAUACCGCAUAAGAGUAGAUGUUGCAUGACAUUUGCUUAAAAGGUGCAAUUGCAUCACUACCAGAUGGACCUGCGUUGUAUUAGCUAGUUGGUGGGGUAACGGCUCACCAAGGCGACGAUACAUAGCCGACCUGAGAGGGUGAGCGGCCACACUGGGACUGAGACACGGCCCAGACUCCUACGGGAGGCAGCAGUAGGGAAUCUUCGGCAAUGGACGGAAGUCUGACCGAGCAACGCCGCGUGAGUGAAGAAGGUUUUCGGAUCGUAAAGCUCUGUUGUAAGAGAAGAACGAGUGUGAGAGUGGAAAGUUCACACUGUGACGGUAUCUUACCAGAAAGGGACGGCUAACUACGUG